rnacentral:rRNA from 1 species
AUUGAACGCUGGCGGCAUGCCUUACACAUGCAAGUCGAACGGCAGCACGGGUGCUUGCACCUGGUGGCGAGUGGCGAACGGGUGAGUAAUACAUCGGAACGUACCUUAUCGUGGGGGAUAACGCAGCGAAAGCUGUGCUACUACCGCAUACGCCCUGAGGGGGAAAGCGGGGGAUCGAAAGACCUCGCGCGAUUAGAGCGGCCGAUGCCGGAGUAGCUUGUUGGUGGGGUAAAAGCCCACCAAGGCGACGAUGAGUAGCUGGUCUGAGAGGACGAUCAGCAACACUGGGACUGAGACACGGCCCAGAAUCCUACGGGAGGCAGCAGUGGGGAAUUUUGGACAAUGGGGGCAACCCUGAUCCAGCAAUGCCGCGUGAGUGAAGAAGGCCUUCGGGUUGUAAAGCUCUUUUGUCAGGGAAGAAACACCGGCUCUAACACAGUCCGGGAAUGACGGUACCUGAAGAAUAAGCACCGGCUAACUACGUGCCAGCAGCCGCCGUAA